AAGGUAGAACUUACAGUCGUUAGAUAAUUUUAUUAUCUAGAGGAAAGUCCGGGCUUCAUAGGGUAUGAUGCCGGAUAACAUCCGGAAGUUUUUUAAAAACUAUGGAAAGUGCAACAGAAAACAAACCGCUAAUCUAAUUAGUAAGGGUGAAAAGGUGAGGUAAGAGCUUACCGCUAUUGAUGGCAACAUCGUAGGCACUGCAAACCCCAUCAGAAGCAAUAUCAAGCAGAGGACUGGGUGACCCGCUCAUUAAAUCCUCGGGUAGAUAGCGAAAGAAAUAUAGCAAUAUAUUUCGUAGAUAGAUGACUGUUUUAAACAGAACCCGGCUUACUCGUUCUACCUUUCUG
rnacentral:RNase_P_RNA from 4 species